rnacentral:rRNA from 1 species
AUGUUCUGCCUGCUCGUGUCUUCGGAGCCGCUCCGCCGCGCGCUGCUCCUGCCCGAGUCCGAGCCGCCGAGCACAGCAAGCUACAGGGCGGCCGUCGUAGGCCCGUGUACCCCGCCGCUGGCCGUUUCUCGCCACGUCGCAGUGGAUAUCCCCGAUGGUUACGUCGAGGUCGACGAUUCGGACGUCUGCGAAUCAGAGAUGACGCAGCACAUAAGCCCCGUGCGUAGGGUGCUCGUGAAGGCAGCGUUGGUUGCGUACACGGCGUUUGCCGCACCCGCCUUUCUGGGGACAGCGGCCAGGCGGAGCAGCAACUGGUUCCAGAUGCUGCUGGUUGUGGUGCUGGUGGUUCUCACCUUCCUGUCGCUUUUCAUGGCCACGUUGUGCGCCUUGGAAGACGAGGACAGGGAGAGGGAGGAACAAGGGGACGAUGGCAUCGACGUCCGCGGAUUCGUAAUGAUUAACUGGCUCCAACAAGCGUGGAAUAACGUGAAGAUGUAA